GGGCCCGCACAAGCAGUGGAUUAUGUGGUUUAAUUCGAAGCAACGCGAAGAACCUUACCAGGGCUUGACAUCCAACUAACGAAGCAGAGAUGCAUUAGGUGCCCUUCGGGGAAAGUUGAGACAGGUGGUGCAUGGUUGUCGUCAGCUCGUGUCGUGAGAUGUUGGGUUAAGUCCCGCAACGAGCGCAACCCCUAUUGUUAGUUGCUACGCAAGAGCACUCUAGCGAGACUGCCGUUGACAAAACGGAGGAAGGUGGGGACGACGUCAAAUCAUCAUGCCCCUUAUGUCCUGGGCUACACACGUAAUACAAUGGCGUUUAACAAAGGGAUGCAAGAGCGAUGGAGCAAAUCCCAAAAAGGCGUCUCAGUUCGGAUUGCAGGCUGCAACUCGCCUGCAUGAAGUCGGAAUUGCUAGUAAUCGCGGAUCAUCAUGCCGCGGUGAAUACGUUCCCGGGCCUUGUACACACCGCCCGUCACACCAUGAGAGCCGGGAACACCCGAAGUCCGUAGUCUAACCGCAAGGAGGACGCGGCCGAAGGUGGGUUUGGUAAUUGGGGUGAAGUCGUAACAAGGUAGCCGUAUCGGAAGGUGCGGCU
rnacentral:rRNA from 1 species